rnacentral:rRNA from 1 species
GGAGUUAGCCGGUGCUUCUUCUGCGAGUAACGUCACAGAUGUAAGGUAUUAACUUACACCCUUUCCUCCUCGCUGAAAGUGCUUUACAACCUGAAGGCCUUCUUCACACACGCGGCAUGGCUGCAUCAGGGUUUCCCCCAUUGUGCAAUAUUCCCCACUGCUGCCUCCCGUAGGAGUCUGGGCCGUGUCUCAGUCCCAGUGUGGCUGAUCAUCCUCUCAGACCAGCUAGGGAUCGUCGCCUAGGUGAGCCUUUACCUCACCUACUAGCUAAUCCCACCUGGGCUUAUCCAUCAGCGCAAGGCCCGAAGGUCCCCUGCUUUCCCCCGUAGGGCGUAUGCGGUAUUAGCAGUCGUUUCCAACUGUUAUCCCCACAAAUGGGCAAAUUCCCAGGCAUUACUCACCCGUCCGCCGCUCGUCAUCUUCAAAAGCAAGCUUUUGAAAUGUUACCGCUCGACUUGCAUGUGUUAGGCCUGCCGCCAGCGUUCAAUCUGAGCCAGUAAUCAAACUCUGA